GAAAAUAAGCCCUCAUUCCCCCUUUGUUCCCAAACGUGAUAUUUGGUAUUCAGGAACAGCAGUUCCGGAAAUUUCAAGAACAAUAGUUCCAGAGUUUCAAGAACCCUUUUUCUAAAAUAAGCUUGUUCCUUAAUGAGAACAAAAUUAAUUAAAAUCUAAAUUUAAUUUUAAUUAACCAGUAAAUUAUUAAUUAAUCUAAUUAAUAUAUUUAAAUUAAUAUUUAUUAUUUUAAUAAUUUAUUAAUUUAUUAAUUUAUUAUUUAUAAUUAAUUAAUAAUAAUUAGAUAAUUAUUAUAAUUAAUUUAUUAUUAUUUAUAAUUAUUUAUUAAUAAUUAAUAAUAUUUAUUGUUAUUUAUUAAUAAUUAUUAAUAAUUAUUAUCCUUAAUAAUUAGAUAAUCGAAAGUAUUAUUAAUUUAUUAUUUAUAAUUAAUUAUUAAUAAUUAGGUAAUUAUUAUUAUUAAUUUAUUACUAGUAAUUAAUUAUUAAUAAUUAUUAUUUACUAAUAAAUAUUAAUUAUUAUUAUUAUUUAUUAAUAAAUAUUAAUAAUUAUUAUUAUUAAUAAUUAGAUAAUCGAUAUUAUUAUUAAUAAAAAUUAGAUAAUCGAUAUUAUUAUUAAUUUAUUAUUAAUAAUUAAUUAAUAAUAAUAAUUAAUAAUUAUUAUUAUUUUAUUAAUAAUUAUCAAUUAUUAUUAUUAUUAAUUAGAUAUUCAAUAUUAUUAAUUUAUUAUUUAUUAAUUAAUUAUUAAUAAUUAUUAAUACUUAUUAUUAUUUAUAAUUAAUUUAUUAAUAAUUAAUUUAUUAUUUAUUUUUAAGUAAUAUUUUGAUGUUAAUUAAUUACAUAAUAUAAUUUUAAUUUUAAAUUAUAACUCUUAUUCCUCUUAUUACAAUUUAACCAUCCAAAUACUAUUUACCUUAUUACUAGAAACAACCCAAUUUUCAUCUAAACGCAAAAUUGGUCUAGUUCCUGCUUAUAUCUGAACUUGUACCUAUCCCUGAAACUAGCAGUUCUUACUUAUACCCGAACCAAACGCAGCCGAAAUUCGAGUUUGGUUCGGAAACGAGAGGAAUAAAUUCUUGUUCCCUCUUUAUUUCCGCAUGUAAUUUUUAGCAUUGAAAAAUAAUAGUUCUCAUAUUUCUAAAAUAAAUUGGUAUAAUUCGGUAUAAAUUUGAAAUUGUUGUUCCAUCCUUUUUUCUAAAACAAACAUAUUUCCAAAUGAAAAUAAGAUCAAUUAAAAUUAAAUUUUAAUUUUAAUUAUAAUAUUAAAUUAUUAUUUAAUCUAAUUAAUAUAUUUAAAUCAUUAUCCAAUUGCUUUAAAUAAUAAAACAAUUAAUUAAUUUAUUAUUUCUAAAUAAUUAGCUAAUUAAUUAUUAAUAAUUUAAUAUGUAAAUUAAUAUUUAUAUUGAUCAGCCAUUAAUUUUUUUAUUAUCUAAUUAAUUUUUUUACGAGUUAUCAAAUUAAUAUAAUUUACUAACUAAUUAAAAAGUUAAAUUAUUUUUAUAUUAAAUUAAUUAAUUAAUAUAUUUUUAUUAUUUUAUACAAUAUUCAUACUUUCAUUCGUUAGUUUAUUCAAUUAUUCCAAUCUAACCAUCNUUUCGAACCAAACGGAAGCUAAAGAAUAAAAAUUAAUAAUAAUAGCAAACUAGGCUUAAGCAAUUAAUUUUUAUAAUUCAAAAUAUAACUAUAUUGUACGGACACGAGGGUAGGGGGCAGAGUUAUUAUUAUGCGGACGGUGCGAUGGACGGGGAAAUGGGAACCGGAUUGUAUGGGGACUUUUUUUUUUUUUUAUUGAGAUAGUAUGGGGUCAAGCGUGGUGGAGACCAUAGUUAGUUAGUGGAGAGUCUGGAGACUUCGAGUGGGUGGGGCCCGAGGUUGCCCUGUUAAAUUGAUAAUUAAUUACAGAUUGGUCCUUAAAUUUCUCAGAAAUUUUAAUUCAGAUCUUUUUUAUUAUAAUCAUAUUACAAAUAUUUAUUAUGAAUUUCAAUGGAAUCACUUUUGACAAAAAGUUAUUAUCACUUGGCAAAAUCUGGCGCUUCCGCGGCAUUAAUUUGAUAAAUUUGAUAAAUAUUGGUUAAUGCUAACGGAGUAGUUUGGCUAAAUUACAAAAAAUUUUCUGUCAAUACCAGCUUUUUUAUUUUUUUGUCAUUUAAAAAUCUACAAUUUACUCUGUUAUAAAAUUAAAAUAUUUAUAUAAGAAUAUACUGUGACAAAAUAAUUAAAUUGUCCUCAACUUCUUCGGGUUGGGUGUGGACAGAGGGUGGACGAGGGCGAGAGUGGGGCGACGGAGGUGAGCGAGGACGUGUGUGUGGACAUGGACAGAGAGGUGGGUGAGGGCCAGGCGGCGAAGGGCGAGGUGGUGCGAUCGAGAUCGGUGAGGAAGGAUGAGGAUUUUAAGGAUAUUUUGGGUAUAAAAAAUGUGAUAUAAACAGAAUCCAAACGGUACUCUAACUGAACACUUACGGCGGGUCAAAGUGAACAUUUUUUAUUUUAUAAAGAAAUAAAAUGUAGGUUGAGAAGUUUCUGUAAUUUAGCCUAGUAGUUUUUGUUAAAAUAAAUAUUUUUGAAUACUAAAAAUUAUGAAUAUGAUCUGAAAAAGUUGGCAAUGGAAAAUAAAAUGAUAAUAAAGUUGUGGUACAAAAACUCUUAAAUUUUAAAAAACACCAAGUCUAUAUUUAAAAAAGCUUAUAAUUUUUGCAAAAUCUUGUCGGAUCUUUGGCACUAACCACAACUCAAUUAAAACGUAACACCUUCCACGUAUCUCAAUUGUGAUUUGGUUCAACCAGCCUCACGUUACUUCGAAUAUAACUCGACCCAAUAUAGCCUCCUGCCACACAUCAAAAUGCUAGGGCGCAAAUUCACAGCAUGCGAAAAUUAAAUCCGUGAUCUCUAAUUCUAAUACUACUUAUAAAAUUAUUUGUGCUAAUUAUUAACCCCAAAAGCUCAAACUAUUAGAAAUAUACGACCAACUUAGUUAAAGCGUACAGAUACAACAUCCGUGAGUCUCUAUUAUGACUUGGUUUAAACAAUCUCACAUUAUUUCGAAUAUGACUCAGCCCAUUCUAGCCCACGCCAUUUUGAACGUAACUUUGCUAACCUGACUUUCCGCGCACAGGUCAGAAUGCUGGCUCCUUUCAAACGACACACCUUAUCUAAAAAAUUAUAGAAUUUACUAACCUAUUUUAAAUUUUAGAUAAAAAGAAUAAUACCACAAGUAAAAUAUAGAAGGCUUUUAGCAAACUACAUUAGAUAGUGUCAGUUUAUUUUUAACUAUUUGAGAGUUUUUUUGAAUGAUCGUUACGUGAUUUGAAUAGUAUAUAUAUAUUUUUCGAGAGAUAGAUAGCACACUAUUCGCUUCAUUUAUUUCAUUUAGAAAUAAAUUUAGCUAGAAAUAUAAAUCAACUAGGAUUCGAAUUUGGACCUCGGGUACCAAUCAUCAAAUUUUUUGUCACUUCUCUAGGGUCGGUGUGAUUUGAAUAGUGUUACUAGCGUAAGUAUGGGAUCAAUCAAUUAGAUAAAAUUGUAUUUUACCGCAUAAUUUUUAAUAUACAUUUGUAUGCAUAAAUCAGUGUCGGUGCUAUUACUUGUUUGCUGCAGUGCUGAGCUGGACGCUUCUAGCGGUGUUCCGAAUAGUCAACAGCUGUUGACUUUUAUUAUGUGAUUCUGGAGAUUAGAUCUAUCAAUUUUUUAUUAAAGCAUUGUUCCGUUCCGUAGCGUUUGGUUCGAAAACAAGGGCGGAAUAAGCCCUCAUUUCCUCGUUGUUUCCAAGCAUGAUGUUUGAUAUUUGGGAACAGUAGUUCUAAAGUUUCAAAAAUAAGCCGGUAGAAAGUUGGAACUGUUGUUCCACUUUUUUCUUAAAACAAACUUGUUCCUUAAUGAGAACAAAAUUAAUUAAAAUCUAAUUUUAAUUUUAAUGAUAGUAAAAUAUUAAUUAAUCUAAUUAAUAUAUUUAAAUUAAUAUUUAUUACUUUAAUAAUUUAUUUAUUUAUUUAUUUAUUAUUUAUAAUUAAUUAAUAAUAAUUAGUUAAUUAUUAUAAUUAAUUUAUUAUUAUUUAUUAAUAAUUAUUAAUAAUUAUUAUCCUUAAUAAUUAGAUAAUCGAUAGUAUUAUUAAUUUAUUAUUUAUAAUUAAUUAUUAAUAAUUAGAUAAUUAUUAUUAAUUAAUUUAUUACUUAUAAUUAAUUAUUAAUAUUAUUAUUUAAUUAUUAAUUAAUAAUAAAAUAAAAUAAUUAUUCUUAUUAAUUAGAUAAUCGAUAUUAUUAGUAAUUUAUUAUUAAUAAUUAAUAAUUAAAUAAUAAUUAUUAUUUAUUAAUAAUGAUUUAUAAUUAAUUAUUAAUAAUUAGAUAAUUAUUUUUAAUUAAUUUAUUACUUAUAAAUAAUUAUUAAUAGUUAUUAAUAAUUAAUUAAUUAAGUAAUAAUUAUUAAUAAUUUAUUAAUAAUUAAUUAAUUUAUUACUUAUAAAUAAUUAUAAAUAAUUAAUAAUAAUUAAUUAUUAAUAAUAAUUAAUAAUUAUUAUUAUUUAUAAUUAUUUAUUAAUAAUUUAUUU
rnacentral:lncRNA from 1 species